rnacentral:rRNA from 1 species
UAUUGCACAAUGGGGGGAACCCUGAUGCAGCGACGCCGCGUGAGUGAAGAAGUAUUUCGGUAUGUAAAGCUCUAUCAGCAGGGAAGAAAAUGACGGUACCUGAAUAAGAAGCUCCGGCUAACUACGUGCCAGCAGCCGCGGUAAUACGUAGGGGGCAAGCGUUAUCCGGAUUUACUGGGUGUAAAGGGAGCGUAGACGGUAGAGCAAGUCUGAAGUGAAAGCCCGCGGCUCAACUGCGGGACUGCUUUGGAAACUGUUCAACUGGAGUGCUGGAGAGGUAAGCGGAAUUCCUAGUGUAGCGGUGAAAUGCGUAGAUAUUAGGAGGAACACCAGUGGCGAAGGCGGCUUACUGGACUGUAAAUGACGCUGAGGCUCGAAAGCGCGGGGAGCAAACAGG